GAACUAAUCAUGGUCUUCAGUCUAGACCUGGAUAAGUAGAAUCGGGUGUCUUACUGCUAUGAAGAUAAAAUCGUGCUCAGAGGACAUAAGGUCAGAGGGGUGAUUGGAUGUGUGUGGACACAAGGUCCAGUUGCCUCCUCCUUUUGCAGGUCAGCAUGGAUGGGGAGAUUACGUCAAUUAAUUGGAGAAGACUGAGGAAAUCAAUGAAGUUGCCAUAGAGAGCUGACUGACAGGUGUUGGUUCAUUAGAGAAAGAGGAAGGUUUUGUGGGAACCUGUAGGACAAUGGGGGAAAAACAGCUGGCAGUUUUACAAUGGAAGUAAUGAGGAUGGAAUUAAAUUGAUGACAGCUGGAAGGGCUGAAAAUGACCACCGAGAAUAGGCUAACAGCAUGUGUCCUCACCAGGCCCAGAGGGGAAUGAGCUGCUUUUGCCAAGUGAAACCAGCCAGGAGUGGAGGUGCAAAAAGCCUUACUACAUCUGCAUCACUCAAAGAAUUGAGGCUGAUGGUAACCUCCAGAGGUGGUCUGAAGGGGACCAUUCUACACAAGGGAGCAAAAUUUAUGGUUCCCAAUCACGUUUCACAAGUUCUUUGUGAAAGAAAUGGAGUGUUGCAUGUCCAGCUGAGGCCUUUGCUGUUACUGCAGGGAUGCUCCCCAUCGCAUCCUGACCGUGCCAGUGCGGACUGUUGAUUGGAGUCCCACAGUGCAACAACUAGCAUCCAAUUUGCGAGGAAGCAGACCUGCCCCCGCUCCUGACAUUCGGGCAACAUGGCGGGCCCCGCAGCAUCCCACGGCAACAAGCGCUUCCUCAUCUUCUUCGACUUUGACGAGACCAUCGUGGACGAGAACAGCGACGACGCGGUGGUCCAGGCGGCACCCGGGCGGAAGCUGCCCGGCUGGCUGAAGGACUCCUACCGGCCGGGGCACUACAACGAGCACAUGCAGCGCGUGCUGGCCUACAUGGCUGAGCAGGGGGUGCCCGAGGACACCAUCCGCUCCGCCAUCGAGAAGAUCCCCGCCUCGCCCGGCAUCCUGGCCCUCUUCCAGUACAUGCGCGCCCACCCGAAGGAUUUCGAGGCGGUGCUGGUGUCGGAUGCGAACACGUACUUCAUCGAGGCCUGGCUCCGCAGGGCCGGCGCCCGCCAGCUCUUCCACAAGAUCUUCACCAACCCGGCCUCCUUCGACGGCGGCGGCCGGUUGGUCCUCCGACCCCACCACUCCCACGGCUGUGCCCGGUGCCCGGAGAACCUGUGCAAGCAGGAGGUGGUGCGGGACUACCUGGCGCAGCGGGCGCAGGAGCGCGGGUGCCCCUUCCAGCGCGUCUUCUACGUGGGCGAUGGCGCCAACGACUUCUGCCCCUUGUUGGCUUUGGGGCCGAUGGACACGGCGUUCCCUCGGCGGAACUACCCCGUUCACAAGCUGAUAGUGGAGGCCCAGGAGGCCCGGCCCUCGGUCUUCAAACCUGCCGUGGUGCCUUGGUCUAGUGGAGAGGACGUGGUGAACCACGUGAAAAGGCUUUUGGAGGAGAGGUGACGUACGGAUGAAGAGGCUGGAUAACAUGCCGACCUUCCCUAAUGCACAGGGGCAUUCACCAGUGACCAGCGCACAGUGUAGGCUUGAGGAGAAGCUGUCGAUACAGGGAUAUAGAGACUGUGUAGAAGUUACACGUGUAGGAAAAACAGCGUGCAAGUAGACUUGCAUGCAUUACUAUUUAUCAUGGAGGUAUAAAACAUGAGUGUGCCCACAUAUGCUUACUCUCUGAGGGCAGUCAAAGAUGUUUCUUUCCUGUUGGAAUAGAUCCAUAUUCCCCUAGCCUUUAUUUUUUAAUUUAACCUUUGUUUAACUAGGAAAAAAAUCCCAUUGAGAUCGAAAUCUCUUUCGCAAAGGGGACCUGACAUAAAACACAAAGUUACAAAGUUACACAAGACAAGUUACAAACAUCAAAUGGAGAAAGAGACAGCAGUGUAACAGUAAUUAAAAGCAGUGCAUAUUCCCCUGGCCUUGAUAAAUGAUCCUGUUUGCCUUGAGAUUCUCAGACCGCAGGCUUGUCACUGACAUGGAGCUCCACACCUGGAGCUAAAGAGCGAGUCACACCCCGGAGUACUUCUGUUCCUCGUAUUCCAGGCCAAAGUUCAGCCCGCCAACAGAGAAGAGACAAGCUUUCAGCAAAAUCUACCCCUCCCCAACACCAGCGGCUUUAGGAUGGAAUGCCAGAGACUGAAGAAGUGGAGGCUUAAAUGGUAAAUAUGUGGCUCCAAGUGAGUAAGUUUUGUUUGUUUGUUUGUUUAUUUGAAGUAUACUGAAGGUAUAACUGCACUUUAUCCCUUUGCUAUGGCAACCAUUGUUAUGGUAGUGUAGAUGGUACCCACACUAGGAGAAAUGCUUACAGGUAUGAGAACGCUUCCACACAGUUACAUUACACAGGUGUAUUACGAAGAGAUCUUCAAUCAAGACAGAGUCUCAGGUGAACUUGUUGUCAAGUCUUCAUUAUGAGUAUGGUCAUUAACAAUGACAGUAAUUGGACAUGUCGAAACAUUCUGUCUGAGGAAGAUCUUCCAAGGGGUUGCAGCUUCAGCAUUAAACAUUUGCAAUCAUUUUCUUCUAUAGUAUGCAUUUCUGUGAGGAUGAUUAUGAUGUCGAUGAUGAUAUAAACAUUUUGAUAAUCAGUAUCUGUUGCAAUAUACCAUUUGAACUUUUGUAGAGUUCUUCUGUCUAAUUUACAUUCAUAUGCAGUAUAUAAAUGCAGGACAAUUCAUAAAUGAACAUGGGAGGACAGCAUAAAUCAAACAAUCAGGGCUUCAACACUGUGUUGGGUCCUUUUUCUAUUUUGGCCAUAGGGGAGAGAGCCUCCUACUGGCUCGCCAAUACUUUUUCUACCAGUAAAUUUAUUACUAUUACUGCCUUAUCUUUGGGGGGCAGUUGCAGUUACACAACUUGGUGCAAACUGGGUAAUGUUCUCUCCUUUUAUGCGCUUUACACCAGGAAUGUGUUAUUUAGCAGGAACGCAAGAAGCUUGCAUGCAUUCCAGUGCAUUAAACCAGAACCUCAUUUAAGGUUCAGAUGACAUGUGAAGAGUAAUGAAGCGAGUCUGUUUUUCAUGUCUUUCACAUCAGUGUUUGGCUACUUGCUUAAUCUCAUGGUGAAAGAUAAGUAGGAUGUAUAUUUAUACAAGGGACAGUUCCCUUUCGGUCCAUUAAAAAAAUAAAUAAUUUCAGUUUUAA